GAGGGUAUAGCUCACUGGUAGAGUGCAUGCCUGGCAUGCACGGGGUCCUGGAUCCAACCCCCAGUACCUCCA
rnacentral:tRNA from 1 species